rnacentral:rRNA from 1 species
AGGACGAACGCUGGCGGCGUGCUUAACACAUGCAAGUCGAGCGGAAAGGCCCUUCGGGGUACUCGAGCGGCGAACGGGUGAGUAACACGUGAGCAACCUGCCCUUAGCUUCGGGAUAGCUCCGGGAAACCGGAAUUAAAUACCGAAUAUGAUUUUUGCUGACAUCAAGCAGAAGUGGAAAGUUUUUCGGCUAGGGAUGGACUCGCGGCCUAUCAGCUAGUUGGUGAGGUAACGGCCCACCAAGGCGACGACGGGUA